GAGAUGCGAUAAGUAGUGUGAAUUGCAGAAUUCAGUGAAUCAUCGAAUCUUUGAACGCACAUUGCGCCCCUUGGUAUUCCAUGGGGCAUGCCUGUUCGAGCGUCAUUUGUACCCUCAAGCUCUGCUUGGUGUUGGGUGUUUGUCCCCGUCUCCGCGCGUGGACUCGCCCCAAAGUGAUUGGCAGCCGGCGUACUGGUCCCGGAGCGCAGCACAUGUCGCGCAAACGAGUGCCUUGGUACGGCGGCGUCCAUAAGCCCCUCUCUCACGCUCUUGACCUCGGAUCAGGUAGGGAUACCCGCUGAACUUAAGC
rnacentral:misc_RNA from 1 species